rnacentral:rRNA from 1 species
AAGCUCGUAGUUGAAUUUCGGGAUCAAAUUGUCGGUCGUGCCUCGGUACGUACUGGCGUUAUUGGUUCCUCCCUUCUGAAGAACCACGAUGUCAUUAAUUUGGUGUCGCGGGGAAUCAGGACUGUUACUUUGAAAAAAUUAGAGUGUUUAAAGCAGGCUCGCGCUUGAAUACAUUAGCAUGGAAUAAUGAAAUAGGACGUUUGAUUCUAUUUUGUUGGUUUCUAGGAUCGACGUAAUGAUUAAUAGGGAUAGUUGGGGGCAUUAGUAUUCAAUUGUCAGAGGUGAAAUUCUUGGAUUUAUUGAAGACUAACUACUGCGAAAGCAUUUGCCAAGGAUGUUUUCAUUAAUCAAGAACGAAAGUUAGGGGAUCGAAGACGAUCAGAUACCGUCGUAGUCUUAACCAUAAACUAUGCCGACUAGGGAUCGGAUGAUGUUAAUUUUUUAAUGACUCAUUCGGCGCCUUACGGGAAACCAAAGUGUUUGGGUUCCGGGGGGAGUAUGGUCGCAAGGCUGAAACUUAAAGGAAUUGACGGAAGGGCACCACCAGGGGUGGAGCCUGCGGCUUAAUUUGACUCAACACGGGGAAACUUACCAGGUCCAGACAUAGCAAGGAUUGACAGACUGAGAGCUCUUUCUUGAUUCUAUGGGUG